rnacentral:lncRNA from 1 species
ACCCCCCUCUCCCUCCUUCCUGCGCAGGUGACCAGGCCCAGGGGACGCUCAGUGGGAUGGCCAAAAGGUGAGGAGCAGAUGGCUGGAGGGGCCAAGGCGGAGUGACCAGGGCAGGAAGGGGGUUAACAACUCCCGUCGGGAGGGACAGAGCCUGGGACAGGUGACCUUAGCCUCAGGUUGGAGCAGGGCAGGUUACCUGAUAAGGGUGGAGGGAGAGCAUUUCAAUCCUCCUUCUCGGGAUUCCCCCCAAGCCUAUCUGCCUGCCUGAUUCUGGCUUCAGUGGCUGCCCCAGCAGGAACUAGGAAGAGUCUAGAGUGUCCAACGUCCAAAGCCACCCUGGCUGUUGGUUAAGAGCAUGGCCCUGGAUCGUGGCUCCCACUCUGGCUGUGCCCCAGGUUCUCAACGCUGCCCUCCUCCUUUCCCCGGGGUGGGGUGGUGGGAGUCGCUCCCUGGGCCCAGUGAGGGCCAGCUGGCUCACAUUGGCACUGAGGCCAGCAGGCCGCCUUGGCUGUGCUGUAUGCCAUGAGCCCUCCCUCGGCCCCCCUCGUGCCCCUCUCCUGGCACUUAGGGGCAGCCGUGUUCAGAAGUUUUGGGUCUCGGGAGGGUUCAAGGCACACAUACCGAGUAGCACCCCGACCCAGGUCCGGCUCGGUACCCGGGGUUUCUGCGAGAGGCCAGAAUGUGACGACAUGGGGUCAAAGCAUCUUUACAGUUAGCUCAGGUCAGAAACAGCCCCAGAGGAGUCGUGCAGACGGCCACAUUUGGCCACCAGAUGAGUUACAGAAAAAGCUCUUCUAUUGAUUUUGGAUUUCAAACUUGAGGACAAAGGCCCUCAUCUUGCCUUGAAAGUUUAAGUGGAAUCAGGGCCCAAGUGAUGGAGUCCAUGAGUGCGGUGGCCCCAGGGGCCGGUGGGGCUGGGAGGCCACAUGGAAAGGGCACAGCAGUGUCUAGUUCCCACAGUCAGACACUUGGGCAAGAGCACCCAGGACGUCAGGCUUCUGAGAAAUUCCUGAUUUGAAAAUGUUGUUGAUGAUUAGGAUUUAAUAGGGGAUCUGGCAAGGGAAGGCGACAGGCUGUUCGUCAGGCUCACAGGAGCUCCAACUAGGGAAAGCCAACAUGGCACCCAAGUGCCCUCCUGGCCCUUGGGGACCGUCCCUGACCUUUCCUGGCUCUUCCCCAACCAGCUCCUGUCUCAAGGUCCUGAUGGAGACUCUGAAGUGGGUGUCUCCUCCCCACUCUCCACUUCUAUGCCCCCUUUUCCUCUUCUUCUUCUUCCCCUUCUCCCCCCCCCCCCCCCCCCCCCCCCCCCCCCCCCCCCCCCCCCCCCCCCCCCCCCCCCCCCCCCCCCCUCCCCCCCCUCCCCCUCCCCCUUCCCCUCCCCCUCCUCCUUCUCCUAUUUGAAGUGAACUCUAUCUGGUGUUAGGAAAACACACCAACCUCCUAACUGUCAGCCUGGCAUGGGCUGCCACGCCCACGUAGCAGGAGAGCUAUGAGGACUAUCAGGUCAUUCAGCCCAAGUCCCACUUACUGGCUUCUUUCCUCUGCGGUCUCUGGUGCCACUUCACGCUGCGCCUGAUGGUAGAAUGCACGGGCUGGGGUGGUGGGUGGGGUGGGGGUCAGAGCUCUGCUGUUUCCUGACCGGGGUGUGCACCAGCCUGCACUGGGAUGGGCUGCCCCUUCCUCCCCAGACAGUGAGCGGUAACAGCAAGGGUGUCCUCGGACUGCAAAAAACGCACCCAGUGUUGAGUGAGAUCCCAUGGCAGCACCCUCUCUGUCCACAGAAUGUCACACGACUCAUCAAGUCUGAGGCAGCUGCCCUGCGUCUCAGGACUCUCCCCGGAGAGAGAACCUACCAGGGACAAUGCCAGGCAGCCCAGCCAAGGCGCUCCUAAGGCCGCGGGUAUCUGGAAAGACCCCGAACAAAUGGGCUAAGCAGGAGACCCCAAAUCCUGCAUCCAAAUCCUACAGGACAUCGAGAGGCCAAGGCCUGAAGGCCAGCACCUCAAGCCCUGCAGGUGCCCCCACUGUGUGCCCUGGUCCCCACUUGGCCCUCCACGUCCGCCGCUGGGAAACACAGGGAGAGGAGGCCCCAUCGCUGCCCGGGAGGCUCAUUUGUGUUAGGGCUUGGUCCUGGGAAGAGCUGCCCUCCGCAUCCAGGCCUGGUGCCAUCUUCACCUUGUGGAAGGCUAAAGGAAGUUGACGGGUUACUUGACAGAAUUUUUGUGGUGAGAACACUUAAAACGCUCUCUUCUAGCCAUUUGCAAGAGUGCAUCUUGCCAGGCAUGGUGGCCCGUGCUUGUGUGGACAGGGUGGCCUCAGUGACUUAGCAAGGCCCUCCCUCAGCAACAGAGCAACAGCUGGUCUCAGAGGAAAAAAAUGGGAUGUAGCUCAGGGGUAAAGGCCCCCUGUGUUCAAUCUCCAGUACAAAAAUAAAAAGUGAAAUUCUUGCUAUUGCCGAUGGUGCCCAUGCCCCGAAACGAAGCCCUGACCUUCUCCUGUCUUCCUGAGGUGUCACACCACCACUGGCACGGUGGUGCCACCCUCUGCUCCCAUGAGUUCAACUUUUUAAGACUGCAACACAAGUGAGGCACGCAGUGAUGGCCUCUCUGUGCCUGGCUAUUUCGCUUAGCGCCAUGUCCUCCAGGUUCACCUGUGUUGUUGCAAAUGACAGUUCUACACCCCUGUUAUGGCUGCAUAGUAUUCCACCUUGUUUAUGUACCACAUUUUCUUUAUUCACUCUUCUGUUGAUGGAAACUUGGUUAAUUCCAUACCUUGACCAUUGUGAAUGGCGGUGCAGUCAACAUGAAGUGGAGAUGUCUCUUCUACAUACUGAUUUCAGAUUUUUUGGAUAAAUACUCCGGAGUGGGAUUACUGGAUCACAUAGUAAUUCUUCCUCCUCCUUCUCCUCCUCCUUCUCCUUCUUGUACCGGGAAUUGAAC